AGGCCGUGAUGGGGACACUUGCGUAAUAGCUCCUUGAACCUUUCCCAAGUUUCAUAUAAGGAUUCCCCGUCCUCUUGUGAGUAGGUAUUAAUUUCAGCCAUUAAUUU
rnacentral:snoRNA from 1 species